UCUGUAUUGCUAAAGUGAGCCACAUGCCCUCAGCCUGAAAUUAUAGAUGUGUUUUGACUUUCACUUUUCAUAUAUUCACCUGUAGCAAGAUUGAUACCUGUGCUCAUGCUUCAGUUUACUUGCAGGUUUCUCACAGGGAGGAAUACAACCAUCACACUUCAAGAGGGAGAUCUCCAGAAAGAAUACUGUUUUUCUACCAUUCAUUUUUGAGGGAUAAUUCAUGUCUGGUGUGAAACCUGGGUGUGGUAUACAGCAUUUACAAUUUGAGAUGAAGGAAUAUACCCUUCAAGCAAAGAAAAGGGAGCAUCAUAAUAAUAGACAAAGCCAUCUGAAUUGUAUGUAACUUUAUUUUGACUUUUAUCUGUUUUGCCCUGUCAUGAUUUGAAUUAUACAAUGUAUUAAAGUUUUAAACCAUGCUGAAGAAUAUGUUUGUAUUUAAUAAUAAACAUUUAUAAUAUCCAGUAAUUCCAAAAGAUUUUGUACAAUGGGUAAUGAUUUGACUAGGGAUAUAUAUGGAGGUCCCAGGCUUGGCUCUUUUUUUCUUGUAACAUUAAUUUAAAGAUAACAUGAAAAUGUUUUUUUAUAUAUAGUUAUACAUGAACAUUUUUUUACCAUGUGUGCAAUUCUUACUGACUGUAACUUUAAGACAUAACAAUAUGUGUUUUACUAGGCCAUUAAUACUUUCCUUAAGUGCAACUUUGUUCCUUUAUAUACUCAAGAUGUGUAUUAAUGGCCUCAGUAAAAUCUGCUUUGCAGUGUGUUGGUUUCAUAUUUCAGUUUUCAGUGAAAUAAAAUUAGUAAUUGGUUGAAAAAGACGAAAAGGGGCUCUAAAAAUACAGAGGAGAAACUUUGUCAUGUUUGAAGCACGUGCUCCCAAAUC